rnacentral:rRNA from 1 species
CACGUAGGGGACGAGCGUUGUCCGGAUUCAUUGGGCGUAAAGCGCGCGUAGGCGGCUCGGAAAGUCGGGCGUGAAAUGCCGGGGCUCAACCCCGGGACUGCGUCCGAUACUUCCGAGCUGGAGGUAGGUAGGGGAGAGUCGGAAUUCCUGGUGUAGCGGUGAAAUGCGCAGAUGUCAGGAGGAACACCGGUGGCGAAGGCGGACUCUGGGCCGAAACUGACGCUGGAGGAGCGAAAGCGUGGGGAGCGAACAGG